rnacentral:rRNA from 1 species
ACGAACAGUUGGAAACGACUGCUAAUACCGCAUACGAUCCAACCUCGGCAUCGAGGAUGGAUGAAAGGUGGCCUCUAUUUAUAAGCUAUCACUGAAGGAGGGGAUUGCGUCUGAUUAGCUAGUUGGAGGGGUAACGGCCCACCAAGGCAAUGAUCAGUAGCCGGUCUGAGAGGAUGAACGGCCACAUUGGGACUGAGACACGGCCCAGACUCCUACGGGAGGCAGCAUG